rnacentral:rRNA from 1 species
UACGGAGGGGGCGAGCGUUGUUCGGAAUUACUGGGCGUAAAGGGCGCGUAGGCGGCUUCGUUAGUUGGGAGUGAAAGCCCCGGGCUCAACCUGGGAACUGCUCUCGAUACUGCGGGGCUAGAGAACGGGAGAGGGUAGUGGAAUUCCCAGUGUAGAGGUGAAAUUCGUAGAUAUUGGGAAGAACACCAGUGGCGAAGGCGGCUGCCUGGCCCGUUUCUGACGCUGAGGCGCGAAAGCGUGGGGAGCAAACAGGAUUAGAUACCCCCGUAGUCC